rnacentral:tRNA from 1 species
GCCCGGGUGGUGGAAUGGCAGACACACGAGACUUAAAAUCUUUUGUCCGAAAGGACGUGCGGGUUCGACUCCCGCCCCGGGCACCA